rnacentral:rRNA from 1 species
GUGGGGAAUUUUGGACAAUGGGCGCAAGCCUGAUCCAGCCAUUCCGCGUGCAGGAUGAAGGCCUUCGGGUUGUAAACUGCUUUUGUACGGAACGAAAAGCCUCUGGUUAAUACCCGGGGGUCAUGACGGUACCGUAAGAAUAAGCACCGGCUAACUACGUGCCAGCAGCCGCGGUAAUACGUAGGGUGCGAGCGUUAAUCGGAAUUACUGGGCGUAAAGCGUGCGAAGGCGGUGAUGUAAGACAGUUGUGAAAUCCCCGGGCUCAACCUGGGAACUGCAUCUGGGACUGCAUUGCGGGAGUGUGGCAGAGGGGGAUGGAAUUCCGCGUGUAGCAGUGAAAUGCGUAGAUAUGCGGAGGAACACCGAUGGCGAAGGCAAUCCCCUGGGCCUGCACUGACGCUCAUGCACGAAAGCGUGGGGAGCAAACAGGAUUAGAAACCCCUGUAGUCC